AAGGAAGGAAGGAAGGAAGGAAGGAAGGAAGGAAGGAAGGCAGGCAGGAAGGAAGGAAGGAAGGAGGGAAGGGGGGAAGGGGGGAAGGGUGGAAGGGGGGAAGGAGGGAAAGAGGGAAGGAGGGAAGGGGGGAGGGAGGGAAGGAAGGAAGGAAGGGCGGGCAAAGGAGAAAAAGCUGGCAAGAAAGAAGCACAAAGAGUGUAGACA
rnacentral:lncRNA from 10 species